UACGGAGGUGGCAAGCGUUGUUCGGAUUUAUUGGGUGUAAAGGGUAUGUAGGUGGUUAUGUAAGUCGAGCGUGAAAUCCAUUGGCUCAACCAAUGAACUGCACUCGAAACUGCGUAACUUGAGUUCAGGAGAGGAAAGCAGAAUUCCCGGUGUAAGAGUGAAAUCUGUAGAGAUCGGGAGGAAUACCAGUGGCGAAGGCGGCUUUCUGGACUGAUACUGACACUGAAAUACGAAAGCUAGGGGAGCAAACAGGAUUAGAUACCCCCGUA
rnacentral:rRNA from 1 species